GAGUUUGAUCCUGGCUCAGGAUGAACGCUGGCGGCGUGCUUAACACAUGCAAGUCGAACGAAGCACUCUUUUAGAUUUCCUUCGGGGAAGAAGAAAUUGUGACUGAGUGGCGGACGGGUGAGUAACGCGUGGGCAACCUGCCCCAUACAGGGGGAUAACAGCCGGAAACGGCUGCUAAAACCGCAUAAGCGCACAAGGGCCGCAUGGCCUGGUGUGAAAAACUCCGGUGGUAUGGGAUGGGCCCGCGUCUGAUUAGCUAGUUGGCGGGGGAGAGGCCCACCAAGGCGACGAUCAGUAGCCGACCUGAGAGGGUGGCCGGCCACAUUGGGACUGAGACACGGCCCAAACUCCUACGGGAGGCAGCAGUGGGGAAUAUUGCACAAUGGGGGAAACCCUGAUGCAGCGACGCCGCGUGAGCGAAGAAGUAUUUCGGUAUGUAAAGCUCUAUCAGCAGGGAAGAAAAAUGACGGUACCUGAGUAAGAAGCACCGGUUAAAUACGUGCCAGCAGCCGCGGUAAUACGUAUGGUGCAAGCGUUAUCCGGAUUUACUGGGUGUAAAGGGAGCGCAGGCGG
rnacentral:rRNA from 1 species